CCUGCAGGAGUGUGGGGGGCGCACUAUAACGGCGAUGUGUACCACAGAGCAGGGACAUUCCUGAAUGAAACCUCCCCUGGUGAAGACUGGGUGCAUGUACCAGGGAUAAAUCUGCGGCAGGUGGCUGUGGGAGAUGGGAUAAUCUGGGGUGUAAACUUCGACAACCGCGUGUUUGCGAAUGUGCUACCAACGCCUGUCGGCAAGGAUGUGUGUCAAGUGGGCCUGAGAGGACAUUCGAGGUGCUACGCUGUACUGAAAGAAAACCGUCUCUGUGCAGACGAUGAGAUCAUCUGUCCUCACAGCGGAAAAUGCAUUCCAGAAUGCAGUGUGUGUGACGGCGUUGUGGACUGUGGGGACGAUGACGACACCGACGAACGAAACUGCUGGCUUGCGGGCUGCCCAGAGAAGCACAGACGGGUGUGUUACGGAGACGCAGGCUGCUACAGCCCCAGUCGUGUGUGCGACGGGGAGUGGAACUGCAGGGAAGACAAGGA